UAUUUGUAUGCGCGUGCGAGCAGAGCU
rnacentral:sRNA from 1 species